UACGAGGGGUGCGAGCGUUGCUCGGAAUUAUUGGGCGUAAAGGGUAGGUAGGUGGUUUCAUUUGUCUGGGGUGAAAGCCUUGGGCUUAACUCAAGAAGUGCCCCGGAAACGGUGAAACUCGAGUACUGGAGAGGGUCGUGGAAUUCCCGGUGUAGCGGUGAAAUGCGCAGAUAUCAGGAAGAACACCAAUGGCGAAAGCAGCUCUCUGGGACGGUACUGACGCUGAGACGCGAAAGCGUGGGGAGCGAACAGG
rnacentral:rRNA from 1 species